rnacentral:misc_RNA from 1 species
AUGGGAUCAUGAUUUAAUAAGAGUUAGUUAGCUAUUUGACUGAUAUUAUGGUAAAUUUUUUAAAUGCAUAAUAAUCGUUGCUGGAAAUAGAUUUCUUAAGUUCGUUCAUUCCUCUCCUGUAGACACAAGCAUAAAGCACGUGCGUGAAUUAUAAAGUCAAUCUAGGCGUGGCUACCUUCUAGAUCUUUGAAUUAUUUGGUUAUACUACAUCUCGAAUUGCCAUGCUUCACACCGUAGCAAAUGUUAAUCCUACUCAUACCUGUAGAGGUUGCCAGUCACUUAAAAAAAAUGAGCAACUACCGACGGCCGGUUUACAAAGUGCUUAAAAUGUUGUUCAGAUGCUUUGAGUAAACAUCCGCUGUACCCUAAACUAACUUGCUCAGAUUUUACUUCUCACAUAACAGGAUGCAACAAACUGACGACCAAAGUAUUGGGAGUUCAUCCCCAAGGCCUUGGAAGGAUCUCAGUCAGUAAGUGAGGGAGUCGUCUCUAAAAGUUUCCUACGAUGGCAUACUUUUAUUUCUAAAAACUUUACUACUAAUUAGUAAUACAGUUAAUCAAGAAUCUUAAUCGGUUAAUUCCUAAUAGUAUUUUCUUGUUAAAUGAAUACAGCAAGCUACUUGACAAUUUCAUUUUCAUAUUUACCAAUGAAUGAAUGAUAUUCCUAAAUAAUACGAGUUUAAAACACAAGGUGAAU